UACGUAGGGGGCAAGCGUUGUCCGGAAUUAUUGGGCGUAAAGAGCGCGUAGGCGGUCCGGUAAGUCAGCUGUGAAAGUCGAGGGCUCAACCCUUGAAAGCCGGUUGAUACUGUCGGGCUAGAGUCCGGAAGAGGCGAGUGGAAUUCCCGGUGUAGCGGUGAAAUGCGCAGAUAUCCGGAGGAACACCAGUGGCGAAGGCGACACGCUGGGCCAUACCUGACGCUAAAGCGCGACAGCAUGGGGAGCAAACGGG
rnacentral:rRNA from 1 species